CAUGCGGACUGGCAGUGCAUUUGCGAGUAAUGUGCGCUGCGGCGUGUGGUUAGGUCAUCUGAUGUGCGAUUAGAGGACUCCUUUUGGAGAAACCUGGUUGCACGGAUGUUGAUUCGAACUGCAUGUUGAGGGACUGGCCAACGUGCGGGGUGGCUGCUAAKGUCGUUCCUUGCGUAAAUCGCAUGCGAUUUGCGCUUGCGGAUAGCCUUGGUAGUUGCUUCGUAAACUGUUCCGACCGCAGUGUCAAAGGUGCUCAUCUUUCCGACCCGUCUUGAAACACGGACCAAGGAGUAUACAGUAUGUGCGAGUCAUUGAGUUCUAAACUCAAAGGCGUAAUGAAAGUAAAGAUUCCGUAAGGUUUUGAUAUGCGAUCUCGGUUGCCUUGGUAGCUGAGAGCAGCAUAGCCCCGUCUUGACCGCUUGCGGUAGGGCGGAGGUAGAGCKCAWGUAYGUGASSGAAAGAUGGUGAACUAUGCUUGAACAGGAUGAAGCCAGAGG
rnacentral:rRNA from 1 species